rnacentral:tRNA from 1 species
GGUGCUAUAGCCGCUGGAAUGGCAUAGGCUCGCAAAGCUGAAGUUGUUGGUUCGAAUCCAACUAGCACCA